UACGUAGGGGGCAAGCGUUGUCCGGAUUUAUUGGGCGUAAAGCGCGUGUAGGCGGCCAGACGGGUCCGUUGUGAAAACUCGAGGCUCAACCUCGAGACGUCGAUGGAAACCGUCUGGCUAGAGUCCGGAAGAGGAGUGUGGAAUUCCUGGUGUAGCGGUGAAAUGCGCAGAUAUCAGGAAGAACACCUAUGGCGAAGGCAGCACUCUGGGACGGUACUGACGCUGAGACGCGAAAGCGUGGGGAGCGAACAGG
rnacentral:rRNA from 1 species